rnacentral:siRNA from 1 species
AUGCAGAUCAAAAGAUGGCACGCC